rnacentral:lncRNA from 10 species
GGGCAACAAGAGCGAAACUCCAUCUCAAAAGAAAAAAAAAAAGUCUACAUUUUCCAAAAAUAAAAAAACAAAAAAAAGGAUGCUCAAGAAAGCAUAACCUCAAUGCCAUUACCACACCUAAAAAAAAUAAUUCCUUAAUAGCCAGUGACUAUUGAAAUUUUACUCUCUUUUUCUCUGUGUUCAAAGAUGUAUCUAAAUACAGUCCUUAUACUACAAUCAAUUUACACGUCUCUUUAGACUCUUAAUCUAUAGGUCCUCACUCUUCUUUUUCUUCCUAUGGCAAUAUUAUUUAUUGAAGACACUGUGUUAUUUGACUUGUAGAGUUUCCACCAUCUGGAUUUUGAUAAUUGCAACUCAGUGGUGUCAUUUAACGUGUUCUUCUAUCCCUCAGACUUCCUAUAAAUUGGUAAUUAGCUCUAAAGACUUGCUGAGAUUGAGAUUUAAUUUUCUGGCUGGAAUACUUUAUACACAAUGCUGUUGCCUUCCACCAGGAGGCUAGCGAUAUGUGGCGUGGUACCCUCUCUUGAUGCUGGGCAGUGGCGGUGAGCACAGCUCCCAGUUAGCCAUGCGAUCAUCAGGAUAUGUGUGACUCAGGACACCAUGUUGUCAGAUCUUCACCAUCCUAAGCACAAUGUAACAACCCAUAAUGGCUAAGUAGUGUCCCGGUAACAUGGAGGAAUGAAAAAGUUGUGUAAAUGGCAUCAAGAUUGUCUUAAGAUUAUCAAGCUAAUAGAAGCAAUAAACAUCACCAGUUGUUUUAGGAUUUAUUCUUCAAGGGAGGGUUUGCACUUAAAGGGACAUUAUCUCUUCCAACUAAUACCAAUGAACAAGAGUAAUGAAACAAAGAGGCAUAAUUUCUACCACCAGAAAACUCUUACAUAUGUAGUUUUUAAAAUGUACACUAUGCAGUAAAAGAUACGAAAUCCAAUAUUAGACUAGGUAUGUAAAAUCAGAAAUAUUUUUCUCCAGAGACCCAGAGAACUUGAGGUAGUCAUUGUCCUCAAAGCCCUUUGCACAUCAAGAUAUGCAAGGUCCAACUGCUUCACUUGGAAUUCAAGUCUUCCAAAAUAUAGUCCCAGCUUUAUGUGCUACUAAAGAUCUGCAUUCAACCUUUCAAGGUCCUUAACACUGAUAUGAUUAUGAUGUCUCACCUCUAUCCUCCAUAAAUAUAAAACAGGAUCACAAGCAUAGGCAACAAAAACAACACUAGACAAAUGGGACUAUGUUGAACUAAAUAGCUUCUGCACAGCAUCUACACACAAUCAACAGUGUGAAGAGACAGCCUGGUGAAUUGGAGAAAAUAUUUGCAAACUAUUAAUGUGACAAAGGACUAAUAUCCAGAAUGUACAAGGAACUCAAACAACCCAACAGUUGAAAAAAAACCCAUAUAAUCCCAUUAAAAAGUGAGCAAAGGACAUGAAUAGACAUUUCUCAAAAGAAGACAUACAAAUGGCCAACAGGUACAUGAAAAAAUGCUCAACAUCACUAAUCAUCAGGGAAAUGCAAAUCGAAAUCCACAAUGAGACAUUUUCUUACCCCUGUUAGAAUGGCUACUAUUAAAAAGACAAAAAAAAAAUAGUAACAGAUGCUGGCAAGGAUCUGUUGGUGAGAAUCUAAAUUAGUACAGCCAUUAUGGAAAACAGUACGGAGAUUUCUCAAAAAACUAAAAAUAGAACUACCAUAUGACCCAGCAAUCCCACUAUGGGGUAUUUUUCUAAAGGAAAGGAGUUCAGUACAUCACAGCAUACCUGUGCUCUCAGUUUACGACAGCACUAUUCACAAUAGCAAAGAUAGGGGAUCAACCUAAGUGUCCAUCAAUGGACAAAUGGAUUAAAAAUGUGAUAUAAAUACACAAAUAGAAUACUAUUUGGCCAUAAAAAAGGAAUAAAAUCUUGUCAUUUGUAGCAACAUGAAUGGAACUGGAGGUCAUUAUGUUAAGUGAAAUAAGGCUGUCAGAGAAAGACAAACAUUGCAAGUUCUCACUCAUAUAUGGAAGCUAAAAAAAGUUGAUCUUAUGGAGGUAGAGAGGAGAAUGAUAGAUACCAGAUGCUGCGAAGGUGUGCUGGUGGGGAAGGGGAUUAAGAGAGUGCUUAGUUGGUGGGUACAUACAGUUAGAUAGGAGGAAUAAGUUCUAAUGUUCUAUACCACAGUGGGGUGCUAUAGUCAGUAACAACGUAUUGUCUAGUUCAAAAUAGCUAGAAGAGAGAACUUGACAUGUUCCCAACAUAUAAAAAUGAUAAAUACUUGAGGUGAUGUCUACCCUAAAUACCUUGACUUGAUCAUUCCACAUUCCAUGCAUGUAACAAAAUAUCACAUGUACUCCAUAAAUAUGUACAAAUAUGUGUAUCAAUUGAAAAAAGGAAAAAAAAUAACAUAAAUGUAAGGAAGUCCAACUGUGUUCUGAUUUUGCCCAUAAUGUUUUCUUGAUACGUUUUUAAAACAUCAAAUAAUAAAUUUAUAAACAAAAUAU